rnacentral:rRNA from 1 species
GACGAACGCUGGCGGCGUGCUUAACACAUGCAAGUCGAACGAAGUGGCGAACGGGUGAGUAACGCGUAAUCAACCUGCCCUUCAGGGGGGGAUAACAGUUGGAAACGACUGCUAAUACCGCAUAAUGAAGGAGGGGAUUGCGUCUGAUUAGCUAGUUGGAGGGGUAACGGCCCACCAAGGCGAUGGUUAGUAGCCGGGCUGGGAGGAUGAACCGCCACAUUGGGACUGGGACACGGGCCAGACCCCUACGGGAGGCAGCAGUGGGGAAUCUUCCGAAAUGGACGAAAGUCUGGCGGAGCAACGCCGCGUGAGUGAUGACGGCCUUCGGGUUGGAAAGCUCUGUUAAUCGGGAAGCGUUACCGGAAUAGAAAGCCACGGCUAACUACGUGCCAGCAGCCGCGGUAAUUC